AUGAUUUGAGUGUGUUAGAGGAAGUUGUUUACUCAACCGUCAAACUCCACCCUUUGAUUACGCAUAACCUCUGUGUUUUGACUAUUAUAACAUGACAUCAACGGGCAAAAGCUUUCCGAAAUAAAGUUCCGACUAGACUCUAGGGUUUUUAACGUUUUACCGUUUUAACGAACGGACCAACUCAUCGGCUGCAGUUUAUUUGGAGAGGAAUAACGGGGCCACCAAGCUCAUUGAAAGGACAAUGGAUAUUUACCCCAGAAGAGACCCAUGCUCAACACCUAGUUGACUCACAGUCACUGUGCGAUUCCAGUACUUACCUGGAGGUAAAAGAAGGCCGAGGCAACACGUUUGUCUGUACAGGGCUAGUAGCAACACAAAACGUCUACUGGUGGUGGAGAUCGGAACCUAUAUCUACCUGUGAUCCAAGCUGCAGCAACGACAGGCGCCCUGAAUUCUUCCAGAUCAGCAGAGCUUCACCGACAUCAAGUGACAUCGCAGUUUAUGUCACCGCAUUCCCUGAUUUAAAUUAUUUAGCUACAACUGACCUGUCCUGCCAGCAGACGUCAAGGGUGACUUGUCAGCUGGAUGUAGUAUACCCUGCUGAGAAUGCCACAUGCCAGAUUCAGUUCAGUGGAGACACAUGGGAAGUAACUGGCUCGUGUGCUGUUCCCAAGGCCCGGUCAAGGAGAAACAGAUAUUUGUGUUAUGUAUACCAGACUUCACAGCAACAACUUACUUCUUUGGUGGGAAAUUUUACAAUGAAGACUGAUUCGGGAACUAACUAUGCUUCUGGCAACUGUGAAAUUAAGAUUACUCUUCCUCCAGAAGGAAAGUACAACUACAGUGUCAUCAUUAUACCUGGUGAAGUACGAGUGGUUCCUUCCUUUAAUGGAAGUAACGAAAUCAGACGUCCAUCUAAGCCUCCUCACACAACUGUCCGCAGUAUGUAACAGAGGGUGAGGACAUAGACUGUCUGUGCUACUCCGAUGACCUGGGACUUCCAUCUGGUUCUCUUGUCUGGAGAGGCGCAAGCUCUUCGAGGCUCAAGAUCGACAAAGUAAACAGGUCAUACAGUGGGACAAGCAAUACGUGUAACUUGACGUGGAACAAAAAUGCUGUACAAAGUACACAGUACACAGUAACAGUAAACUAUGCAUCCCGAGUGCUGAAAGUUUCAAGAUUGGUGACAAAGAAGACGCUGUUGUAAAUGUCACAGAAAACACAAAUGUGUCCGUAGUUUGUCAAGCUGAGGGAAGACCACUGCCAACAAUAAGUCUCUUUAGAAAGGGCAACGACAACCUAACUCAGAACCUAUUUGUGGCUAAUAAUAAGUCGGACCUGAAAUAUACUAUAAAUGUUGUAAACUGUGAAGCAGCAUACAACUACUUUUGUAAAUCAGAAAACAGUAUUUCUGCGGACCAAAGAAAUAUACUUCUGAUUGUUUUGUGUUCUCCUAAGAAAACUUCGAACGACUCCUAUUUCACAACGUUUGUGGAUGGCCAAGCCGGUCUGACGUUUAAAAUGAAUGCUUACCCUCCACCCAAUCUGCUAGGAGUAGUUUACAACGGAUCAGCAAAUAAUUUCAUCUCCAGUAAAUCUGAAUAUGAGAACAGUGUGAGGUCUUCUUGUUCAUCUGAUACAUCGUACAGCUCUAUGAUUACUUGCACGGUGACUCUACUAAACCAAACCAUCUACACCCCCUGGGUUUUACACCGUUACUUUCAGCAAUGAUCUUGGAGACAUUUCAUUCGCGUUUGAAAUCAAAGAAAAAUUACUGCCAACAACAAAAGCAAUGGAAAUAACAGAUUCACCUGGUCCUGUAACAGGACCUAUUGUUGGAGGAGUUAUUGGAGGAGUAGUUUUUCUUGCGCUGAUUGUAGCCAUUAUCAUCUUUAUUGUUCGACGAAAAGGAAAACGUAACAAGGGCCCCUCACUACCGAAUAACGCUGUGGAAGAAGACUUUAGUGAGGAACAAAAUAAUAGUGCAGAAACACCAAAGGAGGUGUAUGCCAUCGUCGACAAGAAGGAUCCAAAACCGACUACAACCUCGACGAUGACGGACGUGUAUGCUGAUGUAGUCAAGAAGGGAAAAGAACGCACUGAACUCGACUUAGUCCCCUCAACACUUUCCACAACACCUGAGGAUGCGGCAAAAGAUAAAAAAGGAAAAAUCAGCAAGACACAUGGUAAAGGAAAAAAGAAAGGAAAAGGAGACAAAAAGCCAUUGUCUGAAAAGAACACAUGGUAUUAAAGGCGGAGGUGCCUUGUCAAUGUCUCCAAUGGCAGAAUCUGAGUACGAAAACUGUGGGUUCGAUGACAAAGAACAAGAAAAGGAAAGAAAAGGAGCAAAAGAAAUCCAGCGACGAGGCCAGCAAGGUCUCAACUACACCACUGUCGUGUUUGGCAACCCCACGGUCACACCCAACACCACCACCAGUAUCGGAGCCCACUGAGUAUGCUGAAAUAGUUCCACGACAGAAGCCUACAGACUAAACAACUCUUCUCACUAAUUUAUGCUAUUUUUAAAAGUUUUUUUUUUUUAAAAGCAAUAAAAUAUGUCGUUUCUGUGUUUGAAUUUUUCCAUUUUAAUUAUUUAGUUAUAUUCAUCCUUUAAAAUGUUAUAUUUUUUAUUCAUCACGUAGUAAAAUACAUUCAUAUGCUUUUAUGUCAUUUCAAAUCGCAAAUAAGUUGUUUACGACUCAUCAAGAAAUACUCUUUUUUCAGAAAUAAAUAAAGAAGGUAUUUAAGCAAAUAAUAUACUAUUUAUUUUACUGCUGUCAUAAAGAAAUAAUUCCGCUGUUAUGUACAGUUUAUACGUUUUAUAAUCUUUAUUAUGACUUAGCUGUCUUCUGAACUGUAAAUUGUAUAUAAUUACAAAGUUUUAUGUAUUAAAUAGCUCAUUGACUUUAAUAACACCUUUCUGUUGUUCAUUGUUUCUGCUCAGUUUGCUGAGAUCAUGGUAGUACUACCUAAAACAGUAUUGUUUACAAAUGAUAAUUUUAACUUUUCAUUAAUGCUUUAAGUUUUAGUUAACUAAAGUAAAAAGUUACCUUUAUUUUUUUAUAAUUUCUAUAUUCAUGCUAAGAAAACCCUCUUUGUAACGAUAUCAUGUGUAAAGCUCGAUAUAGCUAUAAAGUCAACGUUUGAGACAAAAGAUCACAUGAAGCAAUAUGUCAGUUUGAGUACUGCAUGGUAAAAUAACAGUUUGAUUGUUAUCUUACUUCUAUGCAAAAUCAAAAAUAGCUUUUAUGUCUAAAGCUAGAGCAGAAAUAUUUCUACAGAUGAAAAGUGUGUUUGUGAGAAGCUAGGAGAAAGAAAAGGAAAGUGUUUCAAAAAGAAAAGAGGAAGUAAUCAAGUGUUGUAGACCAUAUUUAUGCUAAUUAGCACUGAUACAUGUUUAGAAGUGUAAAUAAAACUUUAAGUCUAAAUGAACAGACAUUGCACUACAGUUUGACAUGUUUAAUUUUUUAUCAUUUUUUUUAUAAUCGGAGAGAAAGAGAAAGAUGUUCCGGAUCUGAAAUUCUAAUUUAUAACGAACAACUACCGUCAACAGACAUAAAUGUUUGUACAGUGCUCUUUACUUCCUAGUUAAAUAUAAUUCAUGCAAACUUUGUCUAAAAUUUUGGAAAGUAAUAUUUUUUGUAUUGAAUCAUUCUAUGUCCUCCUUUACAGCUAGCUGUAUUUGCUUUUACAUAUAAGGCCAUUAAGGCUAAUUGUUCUUACAAGUAAGUUUAACAUGUACAUGACCAAAAUGCUGUUUUACAAAAAAAAAA